rnacentral:rRNA from 1 species
GAUGAACGCUGGCGGCGUGCCUAAUACAUGCAAGUCGAGCGAACGGACGAGAAGCUUGCUUCUCUGAUGUUAGCGGCGGACGGGUGAGUAACACGUGGAUAACCUACCUAUAAGACUGGGAUAACUUCGGGAAACCGGAGCUAAUACCGGAUAAUAUUUUGAACCGCAUGGUUCAAAAGUGAAAGACGGUCUUGCUGUCACUUAUAGAUGGAUCCGCGCUGCAUUAGCUAGUUGGUAAGGUAACGGCUUACCAAGGCAACGAUGCAUAGCCGACCUGAGAGGGUGAUCGGCCACACUGGAACUGAGACCGGUCCCAGACCCCUAGGGGAGGCAGCAGUAGGGAAUCUUCCGCAAUGGGCGAAAGCCUGACGGAGCAACGCCGCGUGAGUGAUGAAGGUCUUCGGAUCGUAAAACUCUGUUAUUAGGGAAGAACAUAUGUGUAAGUAACUGUGCACAUCUGACGGUACCUAAUCAGAAAGCCACGGCUAACUACGUG